rnacentral:pre_miRNA from 1 species
UUUUCGAAAUUUCUGCCAGGUCCACCUUUUGCUUUUGUUGAUAUUUAUUUAUCUAUCAUUGGGCAAGGUAGACCCUGGAGUGGUUUCUUAAA